GGAUUGUGGCUCAGUGGUACAGCGCUUGCCUAGCACAGCAGGACCUGGGUUCAAUACUCAGCACCA
rnacentral:tRNA from 1 species